UUUCACGGUUUUUAAUUUUUACGAUUAUUCUUAAUUGACGGGCAGGAUAGGAAAAAACUAAAAGCCAAAUUGCGACCUGCAUCCUGCCCGCCGUCCGAAAAAUGUACAUGCGAGAUGCAUCGGGUAAUUGCUUCCCAAAGA